CUUAACACAUGCAAGUCGAGCGAUGAAGUUUCUUCGGAAAUGGAUUAGCGGCGAACGGGUGAGGAACACGUGAAGAAUCUGCCCUCCACUUUGGGAUAACACCGGGAAACCGGUGCUAAUACCGAAUAUUGAAACAUAAGUGGCAUCACUGAGUUUUGAAAGAAUUUCGGUGGAGGAUGACUUCGCGGCCUAUCAGCUAGUUGGUGAGGUAAUGGCUCACCAAGGCAACGACGGGUAGCCGGCCUGAGAGGGCGACCGGCCACACUGGGACUGAGACACGGCCCAGACUCCUACGGGAGGCAGCAGUGGGGAAUAUUGGGCAAUGGAGGAAACUCUGACCCAGCGACGCCGCGUGCGGGAUGAAGGCCUUCGGGUUGUAAACCGCUUUCAGUAGGGAAGAAGCGAAAGUGACGGUACCUACAAAAGAAGCACCGGCUAACUAUGUGCCAGCAGCCGCGGUAAUACAUAGGGUGCAAGCGUUGUCCGGAAUUAUUGGGCGUAAAGAGCUCGUAGGUCGUUUGUUACGUCGGAUGUGAAAACCUGAGGCUCAACCUCAGGCCUGCAUUCGAUACGGGCAAACUAGAGUUUGGUAGGGGAGACUGGAAUUCCUGGUGUAGCGGUGGAAUGCGCAGAUAUCAGGAGGAACACCAAUGGCGAAGGCAGGUCUCUGGGCCAAUACUGACACUGAGGAGCGAAAGUCUGGGGAGCGAACAGGAUUAGAUACCCUGGUAGUCCAGACCGUAAACGGUGGGCACUAGUUGUGGGAACCUUCCACGGUUUCUGCGACGCAGCUAACGCAUUAAGUGCCCCGCCUGGGGAGUACGAUCGCAA
rnacentral:rRNA from 1 species